UUCUUCGCAGGGGACCUGUAACGUCAUACGCAGCGCAACGUCCCUGUGACCCCGCGCCUUGGGCGCUUUUUUAUUACGUCACAGCGACGCGCCGACGAUAACGAGAGUCGUAGACGUGUAAAGGCGCUUUGCUGGGCGGGCUGAGAAUCUCUGCUGUGGGAAACGCUGAUUUCGACGAAGAGAAAAGGUUCAGUGCUGCAGUUCCCACUUCGGCGCGAGGAAACGAGUGAAACCGGAUACGGCGGUGAGGAAACUGACACGGAGCCUCUGAUUGGUCGCCUGCAGCGCCGCCUAGCGGACAGACACGGGACUGGACUCUUCUGCGCCGUGGAACGGCAUGUUUCUCCGGAGACCGUGGUGCAACACAGAAG